AAAAAGUUAUAAAUAUUUUCUGUUAAAAUACUCGAACAACACACCUAAUAACUCGAUCAUAAAACAAGUCAUAAAUCUAGAAGGAAAGUGAAUCGUUCCUUUGUUUCCCAUCGUGAUUCACAUCCUUUCUUACAGUCGUAUGAAACUAUUCUCAAAAGAAUAGUAAUCCACGAUAGUUGAUAAUUUUACAAUGCAACUUUACGUUGCAUCUGCUGUGAACGAUCUUGCGAGAUCUCUCGAGCCGUAGACAGUCAGGUAUCCAGAGGCGAUCGGUCGCCUAUUAAGUAAUUCCACUUUACUGGUAACCGGACAUUUUCAUGCUGUUUGCUACGACACACAUUUCCUUCGUGGCGUAAAACGGACGACCGAUAUCCCGCGGUAUCAAGAAACGCGCAUAAAGAAAAGAAAGGAGAUUUUACAGCACGGCGUCGUCACCGUCCCUCCUUACAAGGCAUCUCUCAACCAGGUGAUUGAACGUUGUGUCCUUGUCGUGUUAAAGCAGGAAACGCGCCCACCUCUAACCAUUAUUACACACGUACACAUACACACAUACACACACACACACACAAAAUUAGUGAGGACUAUUUUUCAUUCAAAGCGAACGCAAAACGAACGCGCGGUUAUUUUUUACGAUAGCUCUAUUUCUUGAUUUUAUUUAAAUUAUGAAGAUUUUGUUUUUAAUUAAAAUGGUAAAGCGCACAAGUGGCAAAAUAGAUUCGGUUCCAUCAAUCGCGUUAAUGUAAACUAAGUUACAACUGGUUAUUUAUUUGUGAUUUUAACAAACUUUACAAACAUUUGCAAUUUAUCUUUUGUAUGCGUCACGUAUCGAUUGUAUCGAACACACUGACCACGUGAACGACCUCGCUCUACGUGUAACGCAUACGUUACGGCAAAGAGAUAACAAUGUUCAACGCAGUCUUCGUUGAUACGUUGUGUCGUUACGGGCCGACGAAUUCGCCACAAAGUAUACGACCCACGUACUACACACAUAACAUGGAAAUAUACUGGGUGGUACGUUUUCAUUAUUUGCUGACCCCGAUGCGUGAAUAAUGCUAAUGAUGUAGCUUGCGCAAGGAAACGUCUCCGGGAAUAAUUGAGUAAUUGCCCUUUGUGCGCCGAUCAGCGGUCAUUAAAUGUGUGCUCGAAUUCGUCAAAUGAAUUAUUUAGUUUCUAAUACGCAAGUAAAACCUUUAUAUUAAUUAACAUGAGAUUAAGAAAAAAGACAAUUGUUUAUGCGAAACGCGUCGAGAUCUUCUGCAAAUUGAUUAACAAGCGAAUAUGUGAAUCUGUCUGAAAAAAAUCUCGUCGUAAAAUUGUUUAUAAGUUCUACAAACGUUUUCGAUCCAACGAAAACGGCGCCAAAACAGUGCGUCCGUCUUUUUCAUCAAGAUGAACACGGACUACAAUUACGCGACGUAAGGACGCCGACAAUUGGGCAUAAGAAUAGCGGGGUCGAUCUGCCAGUUUUAUCCCUCCCGGUCCCGAAAUAGAGUCAGGACCAUGGUGAAUAUACGUGAACGACCGUUGAAGAGCGAAGCGGAAUCACGUCGCGGAUGUAAGACAUCGCGCCGAUCAUGUUCGGGCUGGCGAAGAGCGAUCCCGGGGGAGGUGUGUUCGACGACAUCACGUCUGGGGUCUGAAACAAGGAUCAUAUUAAUUGCUGCAACAACGCGUCGCUGUUAUCAAAGUGACAUUCAGAUUCAUUUGCGCUCCUCCGCUGGGGACACUCAGACUUCUUCGUUUCUUC